AGGUUCCGAAUCCGUGCCGAGAUUUCGUCAGACACCAACCCAUUAGGGAUGAUCAGACUUCCAAGAUAAGUGAAGUCG
rnacentral:pre_miRNA from 1 species